rnacentral:rRNA from 1 species
CGCGUAGGCGGACUAUUAAGUCAGGGGUGAAAUCCCGAGGCUCAACCCCGGAACUGCCCUUGAUACUGGUAGUCUUGAGUUCGAGAGAGGUGAGUGGAAUUCCGAGUGUAGAGGUGAAAUUCGUAGAUAUUCGGAGGAACACCAGUGGCGAAGGCGGCUCACUGGCUCGAUACUGACGCUGAGGUGCGAAAGUGUGGGGAGCAAACA